UACAGAGGUCUCAAGCGUUGUUCGGAUUCAUUGGGCGUAAAGGGUGCGUAGGUGGCGCUGUAAGUCGGGUGUGAAAUUUCGGAGCUUAACUCCGAAACUGCACUCGAUACUGCGGUGCUUGAGGACUGGAGAGGAGACUGGAAUUCAUGGUGUAGCAGUGAAAUGCGUAGAUAUCGUAAGGAAGACCAGUGGCGAAGGCGGGUCUCUGGACAGUUCCUGACGCUGAGGCACGAAGGUCAGGGGAGCAAACGGG
rnacentral:rRNA from 1 species